ACUCUCCACGGAAACUAAGAUCCUAUUGCAUCGAUGUGAGCCAGUCAGUAGACCUUUGACAGAAAAAUUGGAAGGCUCACCUGUGAUACUGAUCUUGAAGAUGAAAGAUCCAAGUUUCUGGCCUAGUUCUUGGCAUGGAGAUCUGGAAGCAUAGUAAGACAAGGAGAUCUCGCUGUUCAACGUCAUCUGGGACAAAGCAAGUCUCAGAUCAAGGGAGACUGAGUUCUGAGGCCCGGUCAGGGCAAUUCUGGAGACUGGCGAAUAGAGGAAUGUCCUACUCCUCAAAACAUGGGGACUGGCACAUCAGAAAUUUGGUCUUUCUUCUUCUUGAAUGUCAUGUGGACUCUGAAUUAUGUCUUGGGUUUUCCAA
rnacentral:sRNA from 1 species